rnacentral:lncRNA from 1 species
UUUUAUUAUUAUUUUUUUAAUAAAUAUAGAGGAUCCAUUCCGUUCAUUAUUUUCUUCUAGCCCCAAAAUCGGAUGGGCCUAUUUUUGGCCCAACUUUUUUAUUUUUAUUUUUUAAAAUGAGGAAAAUUGGAUUUUAUAUUUCAUUCCUCCUCUCCUCUGUGACGACUACGACGUUCAACUCGACCUCCACCUCCAAUCCUACUCCAAGAAUCAUUGAACCGACGACGGAGACUCGAUGUUGGCAUCAUUUCCUUAGUCGACCCUACUUAUCUUCUUCGUGCCAGUUCCCAAAUACCUCUUCCUUCCCUUCACUCUUCACAAAUCACAAGAACAAGAAGUCACCUAUUUUCAACCCUAAAGGCCUAAUUUAUUGCCUUCUUUUAGUGUUUGUUACCUCUCUUUCUUGUGCCGAUCGUCAAUUUAUUGUCUGUCCUCUUCAAUUUGAUCAUGGUAUGUUUAUUAUGUAAUUAGUUUUUUCUUGUCAAGAUUCUUGACAGAGUAAACUCUCAGAAAAAUUACAAUUUCUCUUACUUAGCCUGUGUAUGUGGUUUUAUUUCAGGUAGAUUGAUGUUAAUAAGGGCCUUUGACUACAAUUAUCUCAAUUAGAGUGUUGUUGUCUUGCCGAUGAAGGUUUGCCUCAUUUUUCCUUUGGUCAUGCUUUCCAACUCUUGUGUUUCUUCUAUUUUAUUACUAUUGAAAAAAUAAAAACAUAUAUUGAUUAGCAAAGAUGUUAUUAUAUGUCAAUUGUCCUAUUGCUAAUGAUAUAUUUGAUGAACUGCUAAAUCCUAAAUGGAGCCAUAACAUUAGUACAUAAAUCAUACUUAGCAGUCUAGUAACCAGAUUGUUGUUUUCCUUAACUUGUGCUCAUGUUCAAUCGUAUGUUAUUUGAAGACCUUAUGUACAUGGUUGGUGCAAUAGAUAUUUUAGGUUUGUUGUUUUUGUGAGAUAUGUCAGUAGUAAGGUGAACAAUAUCAACUGGAAUGAAUUUUGUCCAUGGUUUGGUUUGGUUUCCACUUUUGGUUUUGUAUUGGUGGUUGAUGCCAAAUUCUUAUUUCAGGUUUGUAAAUUGUGACGGUAGAAUUCUCAACGACGUGAUUUCGUCAUUUUCGUUGAAAUUCUACUUCUCAAGUAAGUAAUGACUUACCCUAACUUGUUAUUAAAUAUAUUGAAAAUGUUUGAAAUCUUGUCGCUUAUAUAUUAUAGCCUGGUUGGCUUAUAUGAUUGGUUAUUGUAGGAUCAAUUGCACAAGCGAACAUAGUAAAUAUAUUGAAAACUUUAAUUAUGAAAUGAUUGAGAUAUUUUGUGAAAAGAAGUUUCUCCAAUUGAAGUUAAUCAAGACUUACCUCCGAUCAACUAUGUCACAAGAAAGAUUGAACAGAUUAGCUAUAUUAUCAAUAGAAAAAAAAUUGGUUGAAUAAGUAAAUUAUUCAGAUUUGAUUAAUGUUUUUGUCUCUAAAAUAGCAAGGCAAUUGGUAUUUAAAUGAUUAUUUGAAACGUUGUUAGUUUUGUUAUUUUAUAAUAUAAACUUUUUGUAUAAUAUAUUUAUUUGUUGUUUUACUAUCAAGUUUUAAGUUAGCGAUAUGUUGUAUAAUACACAAUAGGUUUUGUUGGAUUUCGCAUUUAAGUUGAUUUUGGAGGACCUAAUUUUGGAGUUCGCCUCAGGCCCCAAAAUCAUAAGACCGGCACUGCCUAUUAGAGAGUAUCCAAUUGGACACGGAUUCGUAAUAAGUUUACAAGUAUCCAUGCUUCUUAGCCGUGGGUUACAUUGCAUGUUGGUUUUGUUGUUUUACUAGCUUUAAUUCUCAACCGAUUUUGUUUCAUUUCCAUUUUUUUGUGUGGAAUUGAAAUUUGUACUUCUAUUUUUCAUUUAUGUUAUGCCUUGAAAUAAGUUUUUGACCUUUGUGGCUGUGAUUCCUGGAGACUUGUGUCAUUUCUUAAGCAUAUGUUGCUUGUCUUUUGUUGGAUAUGAGUGAUACAUCUGCUGAUGGUCUUAUCUAUGCAGAUUCAUAAUUGACAAAGAGAGACCUAAAGUACUCGAGAUAAUAAAGAGAAAUGAGAAAAGGGACCAUAAAAUCAAUGACUUCUUGCUUACAUAUUUGUGUAUGCCACUCGAGAAGUUUCUAAUUCCACUUUGCUCUUGGAUAACCUUCAAAUCCUAAGGAAUACUGUUUUUUUAUGAGUUUUUGCUUUAAAGCUUUGGCCUUACAACGGACAACCAACACAGACUUGGCAUGGUGUAUAAAAUGAUUACAACACCACAGAACUUCAAUAUCUUUUUUGUUUCGUCUGUAAGCUUGAUUUGCUAAUGUUGUAUACUAUCCAGUUAAAGAAAGAAUCUAAAGCUUAUAGUUGGCGAAAGAAAUCAUCCUCGAAGAAGCAAAGCUUUUAAAAGUUAUUACUGGUGUGGUGAAAAUGCCCAACAAAUGAUAAUGUGAGGUUUUUGAAUGUUGGGGCCAACCAAAGACAGUUUUGAAGUUACUGAUGCUGAUGAAUCUGUCCACUGCUCAGAGCCUAGCCUUAAAGUUUGUGGAUCAACGUAUCAUAAUUUUUUCGGGAAAUUCUGAAAAUGAUGCAGGUAAAGGUCAUGCUUCAGUUGUCAGAUGUUUUUGAGAGCGGUUCUCUUUCUUCAUCACUCUGAGAGAAAUGUUGUUUUGAUAAUUUGAAGUUGAAUAUUUGGAGUUCCAUGAUGUACUAAAUUGGCAGGCUUCUUUUUUUCGGAUCGGUAAAUGUAAAUAUCAUUGAUAAAAAAUGUUUCAUAUACAAGUACAUCGGGCAUUCCUGGACGAAUCAAAAGCCAAUGUCACAUACAAUUACUCCGGGCAUACCUGGGAGAGACAAAAGAAAGUGAAAUGCAUAAAAGAUCAAUGACCCAAUGCCAAGGAUUCGAAAUGGAUCAAGAUAUCCGGAUAUAAGGUAAACAAAACCUUGUAUACAUGUGUCUUGAUCUGUCUAACAAUGCAAUCCAAGUCGGGUGAGUGGUCUUCGAAAAUCUUCCUAUUCCUUGUAAGCCAAAUGUAGAAUACGGUGUUUGCAAGAGCAAUCCUCUUCGACUUACUUAGGCAGCCUUGAAGUCCCACAUGCCUCAUUUUUCAACCACUUAAGAGCACUAGCAAGUGUUGACAUAGAUCUCGUAAUGUCGAGCCAUCGCCUAAUAUUCCUCCAUAAGGUAGAUGUGAAGGAACACUUAAAAAAAAGAUGGUCGCAAGUUUCCACAAAAUGCCCACGAAAAACACACUUGCGAUCAAUAUCCAAAAAAGCAGUUUGUCUUUAGUUAGGAGCUUUGAUUGGGCCCCUAACCAAAGCAUAAAAGAAUGCUUCGAUGUGAUGCAAGGUUUCCAAACUUCGGCUCCCCAAGUCUUGAAAGUGCCCUUAGGCCUAAAGAAAUUAUAGGCAAUUUUUGUGCUGAAUUUAUCACUUGUAGAACAGCGCAGAUUUCUGUUGAAAAUUUCCAGAAACUACCUACCGAAUGAAGGAAUCUGCCCGCCUGUAGUUCUGUCCAAAUUCUGCCCAGUUAUCCCCCAGUUCUGUGCAUUCCCAACAAUAUAAUUUCGGCCAGAAACAGCAUGCCGAGAAG